UACGGAGGGGGCUAGCGUUGUUCGGAAUUACUGGGCGUAAAGCGCACGUAGGCGGCUUUGUAAGUUAGAGGUGAAAGCCCAGGGCUUAACCCUGGAAUUGCCUUUAAGACUGCAUCGCUAGAAUCGUGGAGAGGUGAGUGGAAUUCCUGGUGUAGCGGUGAAAUGCGCAGAUAUCAGGAAGAACACCAAUGGCGAAGGCAGCUCUCUGGGACGGUACUGACGCUGAGACGCGAAAGCGUGGGGAGCGAACAGG
rnacentral:rRNA from 1 species